AAAACAGGCAGAUCCACAGAAGACUUGUAUUAGUUGAAGGACCCCAUUUAAGAUCAUAUGUGACCCCUGUGAAGCUCAUGAUGUGCACACGGCAGAAUUGCAGAUCUACAGAAAACUUGAAUUAGUUGAAGGACCUCAUUCAAGAUCACGUGACCCCUGUGAAGCCCAUGAUGUGC
rnacentral:lncRNA from 1 species